rnacentral:rRNA from 1 species
CAGCCGCCACGGUAAUACAGAGGAUGCAAGCGUUAUCCGGAUUUAUUGGGUUUAAAGGGUGCGUAGGUGGCCUGUUAAGUCAGGGGUGAAAGACGGUAGCUCAACUAUCGCAGUGCCCUUGAUACUGAUGGGCUUGAAUGAACUAGAGGUAGGCGGAAUGUGACAAGUAGCGGUGAAAUGCAUAGAUAUGUCACAGAACACCAAUUGCGAAGGCAGCUUACUAUGGUUUUAUUGACACUGAGGCACGAAAGCGUGGGGAUCAAACAGGAUUAGAUACCCCAGUAGUCCCUGUCUCUUAUAC